rnacentral:lncRNA from 1 species
UGUGGGAAGGCCGUGAGGGUCUGCAGUACUAAAUGGCCUUGUCCUCAACCUGCAGUGCACUCCUGAUGCGCUGGAAAGCCGCCUCCUUCUCCUGGUCCAGGUCUUCAGCAGUGACCCGGUACCCCAGCUCUAAGGGAGGUGGCAGCAUCAAAGGCUCCCCUCGCCUGCGUGGCAGCAGGGGAAACUUGUGUGUACUGGGCCUAGAGGCCUCGGAUGUGGAGGAGUCAUUCCUGAGGG